UUAUUACCAACCACACUGCUCUAUAAAUGGGCAACCAGUAACUAUUAAUGGUGUAACCUCUUAUGUACUUGUAGCUUACAAUAUUUCAAACCGGAGAGACAAGUGAAUGAAGAAAUAUUAUUUAUUACAGAUUCAACAGAAUGACAUGCGAUGACAAAGUAUUGAUAGAGUCUUUGGCGCUCACACUGUAGCCGAGGGCGUUGGUCCUGGAGCAGCAGCAAAGUAAAUCCCACCACUGGGUCCAGACACUGGGCGGUGAUGGUGGUUGACGACUUGCCGAGUUGAUGGAGAGAGGAACCGAUGUAUAUGCGUAACAUGGCCUCAGGAAUCUACCCUUCCACCAGACGAGGCCCAGAUUUGAAGAGGAUACCAGCAGGGAGGCUUUUUAAUGAAUUAAUAUGCAUUGGCCCAAUUAGCCUCUGCACUGCAGUAAUUAUCGUGUGCAUUUAUGCGCUGGAAAUCGGGACAUCCCAUUACACAGCUCUGCCAACCCAAAGGAUUGUGGGACUAUUUCUGAGUCGGAGGAGGUCACAUUUUUCCGAUGUGCUCUCUCUGCACAUUAAUUAGCCGGAGUUCGCCUGCGUGAAGGAUGUGAUGUGACGGAUGAGCGGUCUGAUAUGAUUCACGGGGGACAGCAUGUUGUUGGAAAGCAACACAUAUGAUCAUCAUAAUCGGCUUAUGUUCCCGCUCUAGGUACAAAUUAAAUACCACAUGGUAAAAUGACGUGUUGCUCAUUGUGACAAACCCAUAAACACUUUUAGAUGUUUUUUUAGCAUAUUGUAACAUAUCAGAUUAAUCUUUUUGGGCUUGGUUUGCUGCGGGAAGCCAAACAUAUGGACCAAAGUGGUUUAGUGGACGGAGGUUACUUUUACACUCGGGCAAGCGGAGCUGCAGCAGCUGUAUUGUCAGUUCCUUAGAGCUGCCUCAAUACGCUUCCUCGAAAAGUGUCAAACUUAGGACGCCAUACCUUGAUAGCAGAGAAGAAAAUAUUCACAUUAUUAUCUUGUCACAGCAGUGCAGACUUAGAGUCCUUUAGUCCUAUGGGUUAAAAUGUAGCUGUAAUGACUAGGGAUGUCCCGAUCCGAUAAAUAUGUUUUUUGCUUGUUUGAACGGUGCUGGCCCCCCAAAAAUUCUGCCUAAAUUUCUGUGAGCAGUAUUCCAUAACUCAGUCAUGUUGCAGGCUCUGUGUUUCUUCCUGAUUAUUUGUCUUACAGUUGAGUAUGAGGUUUUAGAUGGCUUGGUUAAGCAAAUUGCAUCCUGAACGAUGCAUUAUUAAUAUUUUAUUUCACGAGUGGUGAAAAGAUUGUUUCAGAUCAGUAUCGGAUCGGUAUCGGCAGAUACUCAAGGUUGCAGGAUCGGUAUCGGAUCGGACACGAAAAAGUGGUAUCAUCCAAUUGGAUUUGUUUUUGGUCUUGAGGAGUAAUAGCAUACAGGUCAAUGCUAGUUCACAGAUGUACUGCUGACUUCUCUUCUCUCUCUCUUGCCCCCUCACUACACACAAAAUGUACGCACUGUACUAUCAAAGUGGUGCGGUGGCGUGAAUGGUCUUUUGUACCUGCAUGUUGGCCCUGUGAUGUGCUGGAGACCUCUCCUUCCCACCUCGUGACCAAUACCGCGCCCUCCCUUUGAAGGACAAGUCUCUUGAAGUGAUCUCUCGUCAGAGAUCCCAGAUUUUAUCCUCGAUGCCAAUGUCCAAAAGUCCAAAAACAAGCUGCUCUCCCCUCCACGACAAAGACGUUGUCAACGGGUCGCUGUCACACCCACGAAAAAGACAAACGAUGAGCAGCAUCGGCUGGGCAGUCAAUCUAGUUUCUUGAGAGAGCAGGCCGCCAUCACCACAGGUGGGCAGUAAACUUACAAAAUGAAUGCAAACAGAAAUCAGAUUUCUAACGGGACAGAGAGCCGUCAGGCGAUAUGUUGCUUUCACUGAGGGUCUUGUCUAAUUGAGGUCUAUUUUUAGCUGUAACGGGUCAAGCACAGCUCGCCUGGCUUGCCCUCACAGCACGUCACUGGCACGCGGCAAACCUGUGACGGAGGAGGGGUCGUGUUAAAGAUGUAUGACUCAGAGGGCGGAAGGGCGGCGGCCGAAAGUAAACAAAAGGGAAACGCUGUGCACAUGCAUGCAGGAAUGAUGGAGGAGGAUUGUCAGCGUGAGUCAGAGCAAACAUGACAGGACAGAGUCAAGCGAGGCAACGGCCAGACAGGCUGACUGGCCUUUGGCAGCUCUCACACUUUAAUUUAAAUAGAUUGGGGAUGGAGAGAGAGAGAGAGAGAGAGAGAGAGAGGCGGGAAGAAAGAGGAGGGGAUUGCUACCAUGGUAACCAAGUUUGGAUGGAUUGAUCUCAAAGGGAGAGAUUUUCCACAUCCCCCUUUAACUGUCUUACAUCACUGUAGAUCCGUUUGUGGUUUCAAAAUGUAUAUAUAUAUAUAUUGAGAAAUCUGCUGUAUUUCAUUAUGCUGUGUAUUAAACUUUACACUGAAUUAUGGUUGGAGCAUACGGAGUGGACGCAUUUGACAUUACUGUGCAUUGCACAAGAGGAGUGAUAUGUACAAAGACCAGACUCUUCUUCCUGAAGCACUGCGGUAAAAAGUCAGCUGCCCCUAAAUUUGUGGUGCGCCCAUAUUCUAACCUUACAAAUGCAUCGAAAACAGCCCAGAACGAGGUGACGUGCAUAGUUAGCGACUUUGUUCAUCUAGUAAUUCAAGAGUCAUUUUCCUUACUUUGCAAAUACAAGCGUUGACGAACCACAUGUGACAAUCAGGGGGGUUAACACAAAGUUUAUACCAAGUACAAAUGUGGAAAUUAGAUUAAUUGGAUUGUAUUGACAGGAAGUAUCACACAUAUUAUGUGUCCCUUAUAAAUAAUUUUAAAAAAAAGAAAAAAGUCCCCAGUCUUCUUUUAUGAUUUUGUGAAAAAUAUGAAAAAACGAUUUGCAGGGGAAAAAAAGUUAAAUAAAAACAAAAUCCUGAUGAUGGCUGAACAUUUGCAUUGCGGAUACCUCUGACUACCAACCUGGGACCCAGACUAAUCCUGGAAAGCUCAUUUAAAUUUGCUCUGCCAGAAUACGGUCUGGAACCCUCCAUUGGGAAGGAAUAUCCGCCCGGCAGAAAACUUGGUGGUCCAAUCACAACCGAUUAUCUGAUAGUGGGCGGGGUUUAUAACACGACACGGACAGAUGUGAC
ensembl:lncRNA